rnacentral:rRNA from 1 species
GACGAACGCUGGCGGCGUGCCUAAUACAUGCAAGUCGAGCGGACGAAUCGAAAGCUUGCUUUUGAUUCGUUAGCGGCGGACGGGUGAGUAACACGUGGGCAACCUGCCCUGUAGACGGGGAUAACACCGAGAAAUCGGUGCUAAUACCGGAUAACACGAAAUGUCGCAUGACGUUUCGUUGAAAGACGGCGCAAGCUGCCGCUACAGGAUGGGCCCGCGGCGCAUUAGCUAGUUGGUGAGGUAACGGCUCACCAAGGCGACGAGACGUAGCCGACCUGAGAGGGUGAUCGGCCACACUGGGACUGAGACACGGCCCAGACUCCUACGGGAGGCAGCAGUAGGGAAUCUUCCGCAAUGGACGAAAGUCUGACGGAGCAACGCCGCGUGAGCGAAGAAGGCCUUCGGGUCGUAAAGCUCUGUUGUUAGGGAAGAACAAGUAACGCAGUAACUGGCGUUACCGUGACGGUACCUAACGAGAAAGCCACGGCUAACUACGUG